GGUUAAUUAGUUAUUAGCAAUGCAAAAUGAUGCAAUUUUCUAUAAUUGGGAAGUCUCNACAGGUGGUGGGGCUGGAGGGGGCACGUGGCAGCGUGGGAUUUGGCGAGUGCGGCUGCUAGGGCGGUUCAGGUGGCGGCGGGGCUGCUGGGUUGCUGCCAAGUGGUGCAGAUGGAGUGGGUCGGCUCUGAAAUCAAGGAGGGGCGGUGGCUACAUGGUGGGAGGAUGGGGAAGGCCAAAUUUGGGAGGACAAGAAAGCUAUUUAUAGCAGUUUUAGGUAGGGUUUGGGAUUUUGACCUGUUUUCGAGCCGUACGAUCUCGAUCAGACAGCUCCGGACGCGGGAGUAGUGUAGGUGGGCUAGGUGAGCUGUGUAGGACCGGCUAGUGCUGUUAUAUAUUUAACAGUUUGGGUAUCAAAAGAACUUCAAAUGCAACGAAAUAUGGCACGCGGUCUACCUACAUUAAAAUAAGACCGCACGCCAACUUUUGACCCAAUCAAAGAAAGUUUUAUAUGCACUUUUAAAAAUAAUAUUUAAACGAUGUCGUGGAC
rnacentral:lncRNA from 1 species